ensembl:lncRNA
GAACAAGAGGGAAGGAGGCAAGCGAUGGGGUAAUGCAGAGGAUCAAUAAUGUGGGUUGAAAGGGAAACCUCGGGGCUGAACGUCCCCAACAAAGCUAAUCGUCUCCACUCUGCAGCCGAUUUGAUUCCGCACGACUUAAACUUCCGCCGUUUGGAUAAUCCCCAUCGAUUAUUUAUUCUCACAUCGGUACCCCCGAAGGAAAACCUCAACCCUGCAUCUUCAUACGAGCCACGCUCUGUUUCCGUCUGUAACGACGCCAUCAAUGAAAUCAUCGGCACACGUGGAUACGAGGAGCCAGCGAUUCAUCGACGACCACUUUGGGGCCCAGACGACUUGUGCAGCACC